AAACGAUGACUCCUCUCAAAGUGAAUGUCUUUCCUUGGAGAGCCACAACGGAGGGAAAUUCACUCAAAGUAAACUGAGUAGUUUGUAAGAGUUGGCGAAGGCAGGUAGACUCUGGAAGUAAGAGUCCAUUUUCGACUGAAGUACCAAGCUGAGCCAAGCCAGACUUCAUCAGGACAGAAAUGUCAGGAGAAACAAAUGUGGAGAUAUUGCACUGGGCAUCGAUUUGGUGGGCUCCAGACUUCAACUCGAUUUUUUGAAACAUUGCACUAAGCAGCUCUGCCCUCUAUGGAUCUGCAUGGAGCCAUUCAGUGCAGGAAGUAA